GGAUUAGGCAUGCAAGUCGCACGAGAAAGGUUUCUUCGGAAGCCGAGUACAGUGGCGAACGGGUGAGUAAUGCAUAGACAACUCGCCCUUGAGAUGGGGACAACGCCUCGAAAGGGGUGCUAAUACCCAAUGCCGCCUUGGGCCUGCGGGUCCAGGGUGAAAGGAGGCCUCUGAUUCAAGCUUCCGCUCAAGGAGAGGUUUAUGUCCUAUUAGCUAGUUGGCGGGGUAACGGCCCACCAAGGCUGCGAUGGGUAGCCGACCUGAGAGGGUGACCGGCCACAUUGGGACUGAGACACUGCCCAGACUCCUACGGGAGGCUGCAGUCGAGAAUCUUCCGCAAUGCGCGCAAGUGUGACGGAGCGACGCCGCGUGGGUGAUGAAGGCCUUCGGGUUGUAAAACCCUGUCAGCUACUACGAAACACGGGCGAUGAACAAUCGUCCCGUCUGACUUAAGUAGCAGAGGAAGCACCGGCUAACUACGUGCCAGCAGCCGCGGUAAUACGUAGGGUGCAAACGUUGUUCGGAAUCACUGGGCAUAAAGGGCGCGUAGGCGGUCUGAUAAGUCAGGUGUGAAAUCCCUCGGCCUAACCGAGGAACUGCAUUUGAUACUGUCGGGCUAGAGUACAGGAGGGGAGAGUGGAAUUCCUGGUGGAGCGGUGAAAUGCGUAGAUAUCAGGAGGAACGCCGGCGGCGAAAGCGACUCUCUGGCCUGUUACUGACGCUGAGGCGCGAAAGCUAGGGGAGCAAACGGGAUUAGAUACCCCGGUAGUCCUAGCCCUAAACGAUGGGCACUAAGUAGAGGGGUUUU
rnacentral:rRNA from 1 species